rnacentral:rRNA from 1 species
CACGUAGGGUGCGAGCGUUGUCCGGAAUUAUUGGGCGUAAAGAGCUCGUAGGCGGUUUGUCGCGUCUGCUGUGAAAACUCGGGGCUUAACUCCGGGCCUGCAGUGGGUACGGGCAGACUAGAGUGCGGUAGGGGGAGACUGGAAUUCCUGGUGUAGCGGUGAAAUGCGCAGAUAUCAGGAGGAACACCGGUGGCGAAGGCGGGUCUCUGGGCCGUAACUGACGCUGAGGAGCGAAAGCGUGGGGAGCGAACAGG